UACGUAGGGUGCGAGCGUUGUCCGGAAUUAUUGGGCGUAAAGGGCUCGUAGGCGGUUUGUCGCGUCUGCUGUGAAAACUGGAGGCUCAACCUCCAGCCUGCAGUGGGUACGGGCAGACUAGAGUGAUGUAGGGGAGACUGGAAUUCCUGGUGUAGCGGUGAAAUGCGCAGAUAUCAGGAGGAACACCGAUGGCGAAGGCAGGUCUCUGGGCCGAUACUGACGCUGAGGAGCGAAAGCGUGGGGAGCAAACAGG
rnacentral:rRNA from 1 species